rnacentral:rRNA from 1 species
AGUGAACGCUGGCGGCAGGCCUAACACAUGCAAGUCGAACGGCAGCACAGUAAGAGCUUGCUCUUACGGGUGGCGAGUGGCGGACGGGUGAGGAAUAGAUCGGAAUCUACUUUUUCGGGGGGGAUAACGGAGGGAAACUUACGCUAAUACCGCAUACGACCUACGGGUGAAAGCAGGGGAGCUUCGGACCUUGCGCGACUGAAUGAGCCGAUGUCGGAUUAGCUAGUUGGCGGGGUAAAGGCCCACCAAGGCGACGAUCCGUAGCCGGUCUGAGAGGAUGAUCGGCCACACUGGAACUGAGACACGGUCCAGACUCCUACGGGAGGCAGCAGUGGGGAAUCUUCGACAAUGGGCGCAAGCCUGAUCCAGCCAUACCGCGUGGGUGAUGAAGGCCUUCGGGUUGUAAAGCCCUUUUGUUGGGAAAGAAAAGCAGCAGGUUAAUCCCCCGCUGUUCUGACGGUACCCAAAGAAUAAGCACCGGCUAACUUCGUG